UGGUGAUGUGGACAGUCCCCUCCCAACAGGAGAGGCUGGCGGUCCCCCCAGUACCAGGGAGGCAGAGCUGAAGCUGCGGCUGAAGUUGGUGGAGGAGGAAGCCAGCAUCCUGGGCCGGAAGAUCGUGGAACUGGAGGUGGAAAACCGCGGCCUCAAAGCAGAGAUGGAAGACAUACGGGUUCAACAUGAGCGAGAGGGAACAAGCAGGGACCACGUGCCAGGCAUCCCUACCUCACCCUUCGGGGACUCGAUGGAGUCCUCCACAGAGCUCCGCCGGCACCUACAGUUUGUGGAAGAAGAGGCAGAGCUGCUGAGGAGAUCCAUAUCUGAGAUUGAAGACCACAAUCGGCAGUUGACCCAUGAGCUGAGCAAGUUCAAGUUUGAGCCUCACCAGGAGUCAGGGUGGCUU
rnacentral:lncRNA from 1 species